rnacentral:rRNA from 1 species
AGAACCUUACCAGCUCUUGACAUUCGGGGUAUGGGCAUUGGAGACGAUGUCCUUCAGUUAGGCUGGCCCCAGAACAGGUGCUGCAUGGCUGUCGUCAGCUCGUGUCGUGAGAUGUUGGGUUAAGUCCCGCAACGAGCGCAACCCUCGCCCUUAGUUGCCAGCAUUUAGUUGGGCACUCUAAGGGGACUGCCGGUGAUAAGCCGAGAGGAAGGUGGGGAUGACGUCAAGUCCUCAUGGCCCUUACGGGCUGGGCUACACACGUGCUACAAUGGUGGUGACAGUGGGCAGCGAGACAGCGAUGUCGAGCUAAUCUCCAAAAGCCUUCUCAGUUCGGAUUGCACUCUGCAACUCGAGUGCAUGAAGUUGGAAUCGCUAGUAAUCGCAGAUCA